GACGAACGCUGGCGGCGUGCUUAACGCAUGCAAGUCGAACGGAAAGGCCCCCUUGUGGGGUACUCGAGUGGCGAACGGGUGAGUAACACGUGAGUAACCUACCCUUGACUUUGGGAUAACUUCAGGAAACUGGGGCUAAUACCGGAUAGGAGCUCCUGCUGCAUGGUGGGGGUUGGAAAGUUUCGGCGGUUGGGGAUGGACUCGCGGCUUAUCAGCUUGUUGGUGGGGUAGUGGCUCACCAAGGCUUUUACGGGUAGCCGGCCUGAGAGGGGGAACGGCCAGCUUGGGACUGAGAUACGGCCCAGACUCCUGCGGGAUGCAGCAGUGGGGAAUAUUGAACAAUGGGCGGAAGCUUGAUGCAGCAACGCCGCGUGCGGGAUGAGGGACUUCGGGUUGUAAAACGCUUUCGCCUGGGACGAAGCGUGAGUGACGGUAAUGGGUAAAGAAGCACCGGCUAACUACGUG
rnacentral:rRNA from 1 species